rnacentral:lncRNA from 1 species
AGGAAAGCUUGGGGCUGGCAACUGAUACUGGGCUCUGAAACCAAAGGGCAAACCACAGGCCAUCUCCCACACACCCCUGCUCUAUCUCAGCAUGUGGUUGCUCCUGUGUUUUAACCUUUAAUUGGGGUUAGAGGGACAGGUGAUUUUCAGAGAUCAAAGGCACAAAAGAGUGAGGAAGAAGAGGGAAGAAAAUUGGUUUCCAAAAUAUCCAUAGCUGGUCAUGCCAAGAAAAGGAUUUGUGGACAUUUGCGAAAUGGGCAGUGAAUAAGUCUUCUUGUCCCAGAGUUCGGGAGCAGGACUGGAAGUUGAGGUUAACGAGAUGCUUUGUUCCCAAGGGCGUAUCACCCCGCAGCUGGAAAAGCUGCAUACUGCAAGAUUCCGACUACAGUUGACCCUUGAACAACUAUGUGAACUGCACAGAAAGGGGACUGGAGGUGAGCACAGUUUUAAGGGUCACAUAAGUAUCUGGAAGAUGAGAGCGAGGAUUAAAACAACACAAAGGCAGUGAUUGGAGAAUAUUCAAACUCUAAAGGAGGGGCAGAGAGAAGGAAACUAUCUGAGCCACAGAGCAGAGAGUGGCGUAUUCAGCCACUCAGAGACAAUGGGGUCUUCCCUUGUCACCUGAGCUCUCCCACGGGUGCUCUGCCCUCUAACAUCCCAUCUUUGUGGACAUGUGACUCCUUAUUCUUAUCUCUUCUUAUUCAGAGUCUUAACCAUCCUUCCUAAAAUAAAACUUGCCAACCUCAAAGAUUACUCUAUGCUGAGAAAAAUAUUAAUGAAGUAUCAAUACAUUAUUUUUUGAGGGAUACCGACAUUUGACUGAAGGUUUCCCAGAGACAAAAGCCUUAAAUCUAAAGGAAUGAAUCUCAAAUCUUGGGCAUUUC